CAUCGUCUCCAUGGAAAUCGGCAAUGGGAAGGACCUGGGACCACAAAAACUUGCCUGAGUUCCUGCUUCGGAAUCAUCUGUCUCCCUCCUUCCCCGCCCUUCGGUCCUGUGUUGGGCCAGGGGAGAGAAGGUCUACGCAGUACCUCUCUCCCUUGGUUUAUCUUUUUUGGUGGGCAAUUUGGUCUCCAGCAAGACUAAGGAUGCCACUACUUUGGAUAUGGAAGACGGCCAAGCAUGGUGGUGCCAGCUCCUGGGAGACAGAGGCAGGUGUGCAGGUAGCAGAGAAGAACAAGGGGAUGGGCCCUCCCCGGGAGCAUUUUACAAACCAUGGAGACAACACAAAAGUAGCGGCAGGUA
rnacentral:lncRNA from 1 species